CAUUACCUCGGGUUACGAAAACCAACAAAAUAGAACCGAGGUCCUAUUCCAUUAUUCCAUGCACACAGUAUUCAGGCGGGCUUGCCUGCUUUAAG